CUACGGGUGGCAGCAGUGAGGAAUAUUGCACAAUGGGGGGAACCCUGAUGCAGCAACGCCGCGUGGAGGAUGACGCAUUUCGGUGUGUAAACUCCUUUUAUAUGUCAAGAAAAUGACGGUAGCAUAUGAAUAAGCACCGGCUAACUCCGUGCCAGCAGCCGCGGUAAUACGGAGGGUGCAAGCGUUACUCGGGAAUCACUGGGCGUAAAGGACGCGUAGGCGGGUUGGAAAGUCAGGUGUGAAAUCCUACAGCUUAACUGUAGAACUGCACUUGAAACUUCUAAUCUAGAGUAUGGGAGGGGGAGAUGGAAUUUGUGGUGUAGGGGUAAAAUCCGUAGAUAUCACUAGGAAUACCUAAAGCGAAGGCGAUCUCCUGGAACAUUACUGACGCUAAGGCAUGAAAGCGUGGGGAGCAAACAGGAUUAGAUACCCGAGUAGUC
rnacentral:rRNA from 1 species